CCUACGGGAGGCAGCAGUGAGGAAUAUUGGUCAAUGGCCGAGAGGCUGAACCAGCCAAGUCGCGUGAGGGAAGACGGCCCUACGGGUUGUAAACCUCUUUUGUCGGGGAGCAAAGCGAGUCACGUGUGACUCAUUGAGAGUACCCGAAGAAAAAGCAUCGGCUAACUCCGUGCCAGCAGCCGCGGUAAUACGGAGGAUCCGAGCGUUAUCCGGAUUUAUUGGGUUUAAAGGGAGCGUAGGUGGAAGGUUAAGUCAGUUGGGAAAGUUUGCGGCUCAACCGCAAAAUUGCAGUUGAAACUGGCAGUCUUGAGUACAGUAGAGGUGGGCGGAAUGCGUGGUGUAGCGGUGAAAUGCUUAGAUAUCACGAAGAACUCCGAGUGCGAAGGCAGCUCACUGGACUGCAACUGACACUGAGGCUCGAAAGUGUGGGUAUCAAACAGGAUUAGAUACCCUGGUAGUC
rnacentral:rRNA from 1 species